AAUCUUAGGCCAACAUAAUGUGCUAAAUCUGGAAAGACACAGAAAUGAUUAAUGUGGCCCCUAUGCAAAGAUGAGAAUAAAUAAAUAUGAUAGUUUCCUAUUUAAU
rnacentral:snRNA from 1 species